rnacentral:rRNA from 1 species
AUUGAACGCUGGCGGCAGGCCUAACGCAUGCAAGUCGAGCGGGGGUUUUUCGGACCUAGCGGCGGACGGGUGAGUAAUGCGGAGGAAGCUGCCCGCUAGAGGGGGAUACCAGUUGGAAACGACUGUUAAUACCGCAUAAUGUCUACGGACCAAAGUGUGGGACCUUCGGGCCACAUGCUAUCGGAUGCGCCUACGUGGGA